rnacentral:tRNA from 1 species
AUUUAAAGAUUAAAGCUUAAUAAAAAGGAUUUCGAAUCCUGAAACAAAAAGUUUGUUUU